UAAUUUUGAUCCACUGGAUUGGGCGGGUCCCGGGCCUUCGCCCUUCUUGUCCUGGCCCAGGGCCGGCCCCAGACUCACCUGAACUCAAACAAAUUCCUUAGCACCCAAAGUCCUGAACACUUCGGCUAGCAGACAGAAUAACCGAAGCAACAGAUCGCCGGGCAAACAUGGGGUGAUAAAAAUGUCAUGCGGUACCAACAACCAGAGGUAUAUACAAGAUAUACGUAUAUACAAACCGCUCAUUUAUGCAUAUUAAUUCUACGACUUUCACUCUCUAGCUAGUCUCUACACAUCCAUCCCUUCAACGUUCUCCUUGACCACGAUCAUGUCGUCCAUCUCCUUUCCGCUGCUGC
rnacentral:lncRNA from 1 species